CGGGGUGAGUAACGCGUGGGUAACCUACCCUGUACACACAGAUAACAUACCGAAAGGUAUGCUAAUACGGGAUAAUAUAUUUGAGAGGCAUCUCUUGAAUAUCAAAGGUGAGCCAGUACAGGAUGGACCCGCGUCUGAUUAGCUAGUUGGUAAGGUAACGGCUUGCCAAGGCGACGAUCAGUAGCCGACCUGAGAGGGUGAUCGGCCACAUUGGAACUGAGACACGGUCCAA
rnacentral:rRNA from 1 species